GACCCCUGCGAAUUUCCCAAAUGUGGAAAUCUCGAUUGCAUAAUUUCUGGUAGUAGGGGACUGCGUUCGCGCUCACCCAUG
rnacentral:snRNA from 8 species